rnacentral:rRNA from 1 species
UACGAAGGGGGCUAGCGUUGUUCGGAAUCACUGGGCGUAAAGCGCACGUAGGCGGAUUGUUAAGUCGGGGGUGAAAUCCUGAGGCUCAACCUCAGAACUGCCUCCGAUACUGGCAAUCUCGAGUUCGGAAGAGGUCGGUGGAACAGCUAGUGUAGAGGUGAAAUUCGUAGAUAUUAGCUAGAACACCAGUGGCGAAGGCGGCCGACUGGUCCGAUACUGACGCUGAGGUGCGAAAGCGUGGGGAGCAAACAGG